rnacentral:rRNA from 1 species
GACGAACGCUGGCGGCAUGCCUAACACAUGCAAGUCGAACGAGAAAAUUUCCUUCGGGAAACUAGUAAAGUGGCGCAAGGGUGAGUAACACGUGAAUAAUCUGCCCUCGAGAUCGGGAUAACAUGGUGAAAACUAUGCUAAUACCGGAUAAGACCACAUUUCAAAAGAAAUGCGGGAAAAGGAGUCUCAACCUUCACUCGAGGAUGAGUUCGCGCAACAUUAGCUUGUUGGUGAGAUAAAAGCUCACCAAGGCUACGAUGUUUAGCCGGCCUGAGAGGGUGAACGGCCACACUGGAACUGAGACACGGGUCCAGACUCCUACGGGAGGCAGCAGUGGGGAAUCUUGCACAAUGGGGGAAACCCUGAUGCAGCGAUGCCGCGUGAGUGAAG